GAUGAACGCUAGCUACAGGCUUAACACAUGCAAGUCGAGGGGCAGCAUGGUCUAGCUUGCUAAGGCCGAUGGCGACCGGCGCACGGGUGAGUAACACGUAUCCAACCUGCCGUCUACUCUUGGACAGCCUUCUGAAAGGAAGAUUAAUACAAGAUGGCAUCAUGAGUCCGCAUGUUCACAUGAUUAAAGGUAUUCCGGUAGACGAUGGGGAUGCGUUCCAUUAGAUAGUAGGCGGGGUAACGGCCCACCUAGUCUUCGAUGGAUAGGGGUUCUGAGAGGAAAGGCCCCCAAAUUGGAACUGAGAACACGGCCCAACUUCUACGGGAGGCAGCAGUGAGGAAUAUUGGUUAAUGGGCGAGAGCCUGAAACAGGCCAGGAGACUGAAGGAUGACCGCCCUAUGGGUUGGAAACUUCUUUUAUAAAGGAAUAAAGUCGGGUAUGGAUACCCGUUUGCAUGUACUUUAUGAAUAAGGAGCGGCUAACUCCGU
rnacentral:rRNA from 1 species